UACGGAGGGGGCGAGCGUUAUUCGGAAUUAUUGGGCGUAGAGGGCGCGUAGGCGGCUGUACAAGUCAAAGGUGAAAUCCCUCGGCUCAACUGAGGAACUGCCUUUGAAACUGUACGGCUUGAGGCCGGGAGGGGGUAGCGGAAUUCCCAAUGUAGCGGUGAAAUGACGUAGAUAUUGGGAGGAACACCAGUGGCGAAGGCGGCUACCUGGACCGGUUCUGACGCUGAGGCGCGAAAGCGUGGGUAGCAAACAGG
rnacentral:rRNA from 1 species